CAGACAAUCCAGUCAGGCUCCAAUUAAAGGACUGUGACAUUCCCAGGCGAGCCUUUUCCCACGAAACUGCCACUGUGGAAACAUCUCUCCUCAACGACAACAACUUUGGGAAAAGGAGACCUUGGAAAUCAGUGAUAAAACACGGAAAUGAACUGACCUCAGAUCAGAGCUC
rnacentral:lncRNA from 1 species